AGGACGAACGCUGGCGGCGUGCUUAACACAUGCAAGUCGAGCGGAAAGGCCCUUCGGGGUACUCGAGCGGCGAACGGGUGAGUAACACGUGAGCAACCUGCCCUUAGCUCCGGGAUAGCUCCGGGAAACCGGAAUUAAUACCGGAUAUGACCUAGGCCGACAUCGGCUGUGGUGGAAAGUUUUUCGGCUGGGGAUGGACUCGCGGCCUAUCAGCUUGUUGGUGGGGUAAUGGCCUACCAAGGCGACGACGGGUAGCCGGCCUGAGAGGGCGACCGGCCACACUGGGACUGAGACACGGCCCAGACUCCUACGGGAGGCAGCAGUGGGGAAUCUUGCGCAAUGGGCGAAAGCCUGACGCAGCGACGCCGCGUGGGGGAUGAAGGCCUUCGGGUUGUAAACCCCUUUCAGCAGGGACGAAGCGAAGUGACGGUACCUGCAGAAGAGCGCGGCUAACUACGUGCCAGCAGCCGC
rnacentral:rRNA from 1 species